rnacentral:rRNA from 1 species
UGGGGAAUUUUGCACAAUGGGGGAAACCCUGAUGCAGCGACGCCGCGUGAUUUAGAAGGCCUUCGGGUUGUAAAAAUCUUUUUUAUGGGUUGAAAAUGACAGUACCAUAAGAAUAAGGUCCGGCUAAAUACGUGCCAGCAGCCGCGGUAAUACGUAUGGACCGAGCGUUGUCCGGAAUUAUUGGGCGUAAAGCGCGCGCAGGUGGUUUAGAAAGUCUGAUGUGAAAGCCCACGGCUCAACCGUGGAGGGUCAUUGGAAACUAAUAAACUUGGGUGCAGGAGAGAAAAGUGGAAUUCCUAGUGUAGCGGUGAAAUGCGUAGAGAUUAGGAGGAACACCGGUGGCGAAAGCGGCUUUUUGGCCUGCAACUGACACUGAGGCGCGAAAGCGUGGGGAGCAAACAGG